rnacentral:tRNA from 4 species
GAUUCGCUAGCUCAGUUGGUAGAGCACAUCCCUUUUAAGGAUGGGGUCCUGGGUUCGAGCCCCAGGCGGAUCA